rnacentral:rRNA from 1 species
GAUGAACGCUGGCGGCGUGCCUAAUACAUGCAAGUCGAGCGAACAGAUAAGGAGCUUGCUCCUUUGACGUUAGCGGCGGACGGGUGAGUAACACGUGGGUAACCUACCUAUAAGACUGGGAUAACUUCGGGAAACCGGAGCUAAUACCGGAUAAUAUUUCGAACCGCAUGGUUCGAUAGUGAAAGAUGGUUUUGCUAUCACUUAUAGAUGGACCCGCGCCGUAUUAGCUAGUUGGUAAGGUAACGGCUUACCAAGGCGACGAUACGUAGCCGACCUGAGAGGGUGAUCGGCCACCCUGGAACUGGGACACGGUCCAGACUCCUACGGGAGGCAGCAGUAGGGAAUCUUCCGCAAUGGGCGAAAGCCUGACGGAGCAACGCCGCGUGAGUGAUGAAGGUCUUCGGAUCGUAAAACUCUGUUAUUAGGGAAGAACAUACGUGUAAGUAACUGUGCACGUCUUGACGGUACCUAAUCAGAAAGCCACGGCUAACUACGUG